rnacentral:rRNA from 1 species
AGUGAAGAAGGCCUUCGGGUUGUAAAGCUCUUUCGGGUGGGAACGAAAUGGGGCGUGUGAACAAUGCGCCUCGAUGACGGUACUCACAGAAGAAGCACCGGCUAACUACGUGCCAGCAGCCGCGGUAAUACGUAGGGUGCGAGCGUUAAUCGGAAUUACUGGGCGUAAAGCGUGCGCAGGCGGUCUUGCAAGCUGGGUGUGAAAGCCCCGGGCUCAACCUGGGAGGUGCAUUCAGGACUGCGAGGCUGGAGUGCGGCAGAGGGAGGUGGAAUUCCACGUGUAGCAGUGAAAUGCGUAGAGAUGUGGAGGAACACCGAUGGCGAAGGCAGCCUCCUGGGCCGACACUGACGCUCAUGCACGAAAGCGUGGGGAGCAAACAGGAUUAGAUACCCUGGUAGUCCACGCCCUAAACGAUGUCGACUGGUUGUUGGGGAAGGCAACUUCCUUAGUAACGAAGCUAACGCGUGAAGUCGACCGCCUGGGGAGUACGGCCGCAAGGUUA